rnacentral:rRNA from 1 species
GACGAACGCUGGCGGCGUGCUUAACACAUGCAAGUCGAACGGAAAGGCCCUGCUUUUGUGGGGUGCUCGAGUGGCGAACGGGUGAGUAACACGUGAGUAACCUGCCCUUGACUUUGGGAUAACUUCAGGAAACUGGGGCUAAUACCGGAUAGGAUCUCCUGCUGCAUGGUGGGGGUUGGAAAGUUUCGGCGGUUGGGGAUGGACUCGCGGCUUAUCAGCUUGUUGGUGGGGUAGUGGCUUACCAAGGCUUUGACGGGUAGCCGGCCUGAGAGGGUGACCGGCCACAUUGGGACUGAGAUACGGCCCAGACUCCUACGGGAGGCAGAAGUGGGGAAUAUUGCACAAUGGGCGGAAGCCUGAUGCAGCAACGCCGCGUGCGGGAUGACGGCCUGCGGGUUGUAAACCGCUUUCGCCUGUGACGAAGCGUGAGUGACGGUAAUGGGUAAAGAAGCACCGGCUAACUACGUG